GCGCGGGGAUUACGCGCGCUGUCGCUCUCGCGCCUGCGCCUUGAACUGCAAUUUCUACUAAAAUGAAAAUAUAACAAAUGAACUCUGUAUAAAUUCUCCCAACCAGUUCGCCAAUUGCAAUAUAACUCAAUCACAAAAGAAUGCCAACCAAAUCGAAUUGCGAAGGAUUAAAAACUAUAAAAUAGAAAAAUAAUAAUAAAAAAAAAAGAGAGAUAAUGAUCGCGUGCAAGCUUCUAAUUCCAGUGCCCGGCUUGCAUUCUUCAACCGAGAUAAGUCGAACAAUCGCGUCGCAGCAAAGAUACGAUAUCACUCGUCGAUAACGUGGCACGUCCAAAUACAACGAUACGCCAGCUAUGCCACUAAUGCCCAUGAUUUUAAUCAGAAAUCUCGUCAAUUAAAUGCACUAAAUGCAAGGAAAAUUCGUUCGAGAAGCCACUAUCUGCGCUGCGAGUUCUUAUCACUUGUUUGAAGCGAAGCCCAACGGUGUUAGCGAUUAGAACACAUCACAAUUUCGAAAGCAAGGAUUAGGAAUGUAUGCACACUAAAAUGAAGAGCAACACGAGAGCACCGGCUGUCACGCCGCCUGCUAUGGCGAAAUACAACAGCAACUCGUCGGCUUCCUG